CCUCGCAGGGUGUCCGCAGGGACCACCCACAGUGACCCGCGCAGUGUGCGGCCCACACAGCCUUCAGGGCCCAGCCCCCGGGUCCUCCCCGCGUGGAGAUGGAGGCGACGGAUCCUCCCUGCUUCCCUGUUCCUCUGGCUCCCUCUUUCUCCAAACGCCCAUGGGAGACACUGGCUGUCGCCGGGUCAUCUAACACGGUGUCGAUAAGCGAGCCAAGGACAUGGCCACGUCAGGCGGCUGGUGCAGUGAGUCCGUGGACAGGAGGGGAGAGACCACAGAACUCCGGUGCCCAGCUGGCUACCACAAGAGAGAAGACGAGGCGAAGACGCCCACGUGCAAGCUGGAGAGAAAGGCCCGAGACAGACUCUUCCUGACGGCCGUCAGAAGGAGCCAGCC